rnacentral:rRNA from 1 species
UACGGAGGGGGCUAGCGUUGUUCGGAAUUACUGGGCGUAAAGCGUACGUAGGCGGCUUUGUAAGUUAGAGGUGAAAGCCCGGGGCUCAACUCCGGAAUUGCCUUUAAGACUGCAUCGCUUGAAUCAUGGAGAGGUGAGUGGAAUUCCCGGUGUAGCAGUGAAAUGCGUAGAGAUCGGGAGGAACAUCAGUUGCGAAGGCGGCUCUCUGGACCAGCACUGACACUGAGGCACGAAAGCGUGGGGAGCAAACAGG